rnacentral:rRNA from 1 species
GUUCCGUAGGUGAACCUGCGGAAGGAUCAUUAACGAAGCUAGCGCUCGCGCGCAACGCU